rnacentral:rRNA from 1 species
CGAAAGCCUGUCUCAGUUCGGAUUGGAGUCUGCAACUCGACUCCAUGAAGCUGGAUUCGCUAGUAAUCGCGCAUCAGCCAUGGCGCGGUGAAUACGUUCCCGGGCCUUGUACACACCGCCCGUCAAGCCAUGGGAGCCGGGGGUGCCUGAAGUACGUGACCGCGAGGAGCGUCCUAGGGCAAAACUGGUGACUGGGGCUAAGUCGUAACAAGGUACC